AGUGAAGCGGCAACAGCUCAAUUUGAAAUCUGGCCUCUUUGGGGUCCGAGUUGUAAUUUGUAGAGGAUGUUUCGGGUACCGCCUCGGUUUAAAUUUCUUGGAACAGAAUGUCAGAGAGGGUGAGAAUCCCGUCUUGGACCGGCGGUAGGGCCCAUGUGAAACUCCUUCGACGAGUCGAGUUGUUUGGGAAUGCAGCUCAAAAUGGGUGGUAAAUUUCAUCUAAAGCUAAAUAUUGGCCAGAGACCGAUAGCGCACAAGUAGAGUGAUCGAAAGAUGAAAAGAACUUUGAAAAGAGAGUUAAACAGUAUGUGAAAUUGUUGAAAGGGAAGCGCUUGCAACCAGACUUGAGCGCGGCGGUUCCCCCUUCCUUUUGGUUGGGUUACUCCGCCGUGUCCAGGCCAACAUCGGUUCUGGGGGUCGGUUAAAGGCCCGGGGAAUGUACCUACUCCUUCGGGGGUAGACUUAUAGCCCCGGGUGUCAUGCGACCACCCGGGACCGAGGAACGCGCUUCGGCUCGGAUGUUGGCGUAAUGGUUGUCAGCGACCCGUCUUGAAACACGGACCAA
rnacentral:rRNA from 1 species